rnacentral:lncRNA from 1 species
GAUCCUGUGGUUCGGUGGUUGUCGUUGCUUCAUCUCUAUCUUAUUUGUUGUUUUCAUAAAUUGUUUUGUUACACUGUAUAUAAGUUAGGCCGUUAGUUUUCUUGUUGAGUCCUUCCACAUUUUUCUGUCGGUGCUUUUUAUAGCCGACUAUAAGGUACGAGUUUUCGUUGUUGAAGGCCGUACGAUAGCAUAUAAUUGCUUGCAUACACUUUAUUUUAUCCUGAUGGAUAGUUAUCUUAUUUGCUAUCAUACCACAUCUCCACUGUUUUUAUCUAA